rnacentral:rRNA from 1 species
UACGAGGGCCUCAAGCGUUAUCCGGAAUCACUGGGCGUAAAGCGUCUGUAGGUGGUUCGAAAAGUCCACUGUUAAAACUUGAGGCUUAACUUCAAAGAUGCCGUGGAAACUUUCAAACUAGAGUAUGGUAGGGGUAGAGGGAAUUUCCAGUGGAGCGGUGAAAUGCGUAGAUAUUGGGAAGACCACCGAUGGCGAAGGCACUCUACUGGGCCGCUACUGACACUGAGAGACGAAAGCUAGGGGAGCAAAUGGG